GCCCGGAGCGGGAGCGGGAACGGGAGCGGGAUCGGUAACGGAACCGGGCACGGGAUCGAUAACGGGAUCGGUAACGGAACUGGGCACAGGAUCAGUAACGGAACCGGGCACGGGAUCGAUAACGGGAUCGGUAACGGAACCGGGCAUGGGAUCGAUAACGGGAUCGGUAACGGAACCGGGCACAGGAUCGAUAACGGAACCAAUCACGGAACCGGGCAGGGGAUGGACCACAGAAUCAGUAACGGAACCGGGCACAGGACGGAUCACGGGAUCGAUAACAGAACUGGGCACGGGAUCGAUCACACGAUCAAUAACGGAGCCAGGUACGGGAUGGACCACGGGAUCAGUAACGGAACCGGGCACAGGAUCGAUCACGGGACCAAUAAUGGAACCAAUCAGGGGAUCGAUCACGGGAUCAAUAACGGAACGGGGCACAGGAUUGAUCAUGGGAUGAAUAACAGAACCUGACACGGGAUGGAUCAUAGGAUCAAUAAUGAAACCAGGCAUGAGAUCGAUCACGAGAUCAAUAACGGAACUGGGUAUAGGAUGGAUAAUGGGAUCAAUAAUGGAACCAAUCAGAGGUUCGAUCACGGGAUCAAUAACGGAGCUGGGCAUGGGAUCGAUCAUGGGAUAAAUAACGGAACCGGGCACAGGAUCCAUCACGGGAUCAGUAAUGGAAUCAGUCACGGGAUGGAUCACAGAACUGGUAAUGGCAUCCCUCAUGGGAUCAAUAAUGGAACCAAUCACGGGACCGCUCAUGGAACCAGGGACGGGAUUGAUCACGGGAUGAAUAAUGGAACCAAUCACGGGAUCAAUAACGGAACCAAUCACAGGAUCCAUCAUGCAGUCAAUAAUGGAACCAGGCAUGGGAUCGAUUACAGGAUCAAUAAUGGAACUGGUCAUGGGAUCAAUCAUGGAACCGGUCUCGGGAUCGAUCAUGGAACCGGGCACUGGAUUGAUCACAGGAUCCAUAAUGGACCUGGCCACCGGCUCAAUCAUUGGAUCAGUCAUGGAACCAGUGACGGUAUCAAUCACAGAACUGAUAAUGGGAUUGAUCACAGGAUGGAUCAUGGAAUCCUUACAGGAUCGAUCAUGGAACCGACCACAGCAUCAGUGCCGGGAUCGAUCACCGGGCCCGGGCGCGGGGCCGGCUCUGCGCAGGCCAGUGGUGCCCGCUGUCCCUCCCCAGUCCCGCACCGCAGCGCUGCCCGUGCCGGGGCUGGCAGCCCUUCCAGAGCAGACAUCUGCCCCUGAUGCCAGGAGAACAUUCCGGCACAGCCCAAGGCCGUUCCCUCCUGUGCUGCCUGCGGGAACAGGGCGAUGCCUCGCUCCUUGCUCACCCCGGGAGCGUGGGGACACAAAGCAGAGCUCUCGGUGCAGGCUCUGCGAAGGCUCGGAGCUGCUCCUGCCCGGUGUGGGGCAGGAAGGGGCCUGUAGUGGGAAUGAACACGGCCCGUGUGGAGGAGAGGCGGGAAUGAGGGGCUGGCAGAGGGAAGGGGAGCGCUCCGCAGUUGGGGCGAGGAAAGGAGGCUGCCAGGGAGGAGGGAAGGGAGGAAUGAUGUGGUCUAAACCAUUGACCAGCAGAGCAAUUUUUGCAGCACCCUCUGGAUACACACCAGGAGAUCAAGGAGCACUUUGCAAGGCGUGGACAUUGUUGGGCAGUAGGAAUCCAUGAAAAGAUGAUGAUGAGCCCUCAAAUCAUGAAGAGACAGGCUGGACGACGCCAGCUUUACCUCCAAACCAAUUUCCUGACAAUCAUCUCCUCCCUGGCACCCCCACUUGUCUCCAGGGCCUCUGUGGGUCCAGGUCUCCUCAGUGUCUCCCUGGAAUGGGCCUUGUUGCCACCUCUGUGGGUGUUCCUUCUACCCAAUGGAGAGAAAGGAAUUUUCAAAAUUGAGAAGGAUCCAGAAAAUGUUCACAAAAAAAAAAAAUCCCAGCUGUGUCGUGUCUGUAGCGCUGUGUUCGUACACUCAGCAAGUUGUGAAAAGCAGCUCUUUGGGCUGGUUCAUUGACUGGCAGGAAUUAGAGAGCCCAGUCACUGCAGGGCUGGCAAUUAGCCGCUGUGGAAGUGUUUUUGUAGAGUCAAAUUUCCACACGAGGGGAAGAGAAAAGCGUUUGUAAAGCAAGCAGCCCCUCGGCGCGGGAGCCGGGCGGGCAGGGGGAGCUGCAGCUCCGGCACUCCUGAGGGAAGGAGAGGAUCGUUCUCAAACACCACUGUGAGGGGAACACCCCCAAAUCCUGUGUGGGGAGCUCUCCUGCCCCGGGAGCUGUGCAGUGCUGCUUUCAGCUGAAACAACAGCAUUUUACACCCUGCCUGACUUUGCCCACUGACAGAGGGGCCAAGCAGCUGGAAAAGCUGGAAUGGGACUGAAAAGGCCUCAUCAGCACCUGCACUUUUCCCUUUUUCCAGGUUCUGAGGAAAUGUGGCUCCCUUCCUCGAAGGGAAGAGUGUGGCCCCAUCCCGAGGAGCCAUGAGAGCAAACAGAGGUGGUAGAGCCAGGAGGGAGAAAGGAGGGUGAGAGCUCCUGGCUGUGAGGAGCCGCAGCUGUGCCCGCUGGGCUCGGCUGUGCUGCCAGCAGCGGCCGUGGGCCGUGGGGCCGGGCUCCUGCCCGCUCCUGGCCGGAGGAAGGGGCAGGUGCUGGAGGGAGCAGAGGGCGGCCUCGCCGGGGCGCAGGGAGUGCCAGAGCCCCGGCCGCAAGAAAUCAACAUUCAUUAGUUCCAGUCCGCGCAGAAGAACUUGCUGAAGGAGCCCGGGCUCCAAGCUGAGCUCCCCCUCUCAGCCGCGUCUGGGGGACCCUUUGAUUUGGUUAAUUAGACACAAAGUUUUUCUGUGCCGUGGGAGGCCGGCUAUGUGCUGAGGAGCGCGGCUAGCCCGGCUCUGCUAAUGAGAUAAUUUCUUGUGGCUGUCUGCGAGGCUGUGCUCGGCUCCCCCGCGCACGCCGCCCUCCCCAGCCCUUGCUCCAAUACCCUCGCAACAAUUUUCACUGUUUGAUCCACCAAACUUCCUAAUUCCGCUAUUUUUCACCCUAAAUUUGAUUUUGAUUCAAUGAAGUGGCUUCAUUUUGCCUCUCUCUUUUCCCCUACUCCAGGUCUCUCCUUGCACAGUUCAGCUGUUAGGGCUUGCCUGCACUUGAAGGUUGCCUCUGGAUUUAGGGACGCAUAAAUCUGAAAGACAUUAAUUAAUUCUUGAGCACUUCUGGAAGGAUUUACUCAAAAUCGGAACUCACUACCUCCCCCUCCAGAGUCUGCCUCACUGAAAUCCUCGCUCUGUCACAGCUGAAAUGUGGUACAAAGAGCUCCAGGAAUUCCCCAAGCCUUUGGCUCUCCAGGGGUUGUUUCACAGGUAAGGAAUGCAGCGCCGGCCUCCCUGCGUCUCCCGCCUGUCUGCCCCUGCCGCGGGCAGGGCUCGGGCUGGCUGAGCCCGGCUGCGCUCCGGGGCUCCGCUCGGGGCUCGGUGACACCCCCGGGCUCCUCUCGGGGCUCGGUGACACCCCCGGUGUCCGCUCGGGGCUCGGUGACACCCCGGUGUCCCGGGCUGCCGCACAUCCCGGCCGGCCCGGGGGAGCGCGGAGCCUCCCGAGCUGCGGCUCGGCGCUUGGAGAGCCCUCCUGAGAGCGUGCAGGGGCACAUCUGGGAGUGCUCCGGCUCUACCUGAGCCGAAGUUAUUUAGGUUAGCAGCAAAUUGCACGGCAUGAUUGCUCGGGGAGCUGGGCAAAGUAUUCAAAGCAGAAGAAAGCGUCUGAUGGAUUCGCCAAUGUUUUUGUUUGUGGACAAUCCCCCCAAAAAGACAGCAGCAAACCCUUCCAGUUCUUACCAAUGUGUUUGCUACUCAAAAUUACUCCAUGAAUCACUUGUGACUGAGUGUAUGCAGUCAGUGGGUUUCUCAUGUCCUUUUAUUUUGUUCUUUGAGCUCUAGCUAGUCCUAGUUUGCUUGUGCCAAGUGGCUGAUUUCAGUCCCCAGGUUCACACGGCAGAACACUCAGGACAGAAGGAAAUGUGCAAGAACUACCUUUUUGUCCUAUACAGUUUUUUGAGUUGCAGCCAACAAAUAAUAAUUUUUUAAAAAACCCAAAAGAUAACCAACCAAAAAAAAAAACCCACAAAAAACCCCAAGGAAAAAAACCAACAAAAACCCCCAAAAAACCCCAAAAAAACAAACAAACAAACAAACAAAAAAACCCCAAAAAAGUAGCUACCACUAAACAGAAUACACAGAUUUUUCAUGAGCAAAUGGCACAAUUCCUACAGGCCUGCCUCACCACUGCUCCCUGAAGGAUGACAAAAGGGCAGUGUCACGGGCAGGUGAUGCUCCCUGGUGGCACACAGCCCUGUCUCACCCCGGCUGCCGCUCCCCACACCCCAUCUUCCUGUCUGCAUCCUUGCUCCGCCGCUCUUUAGCCCAAAUGCCAUGCCUGACACGCAGUGCCCGUGCUGCAGGAGCGGAGAUGGCAGCGGGAGGAGGAGAAGCCCGCGGUGUGUGACUGGAGGAGCCGCAGAUGGCCAGACGGGGCUGCGAGGGGAGGGAGGCAGCGCCCAGAGCCGCUGCAGCUUUCAAGUCCCGUGCUCCAGGAUCUACAUGCCAUUUCUUGGAUGUGGUUUGCCCCCAGGGCAAUCUCAACAGCUGUGAAGUUUCAACAGAUGAACGAUGUAGUUUUCAAUAAAUUUCACCAAGCAAAGGGAAGGAUUUUAACUCGUUCAUGCUAGCCCAGUUUUGGUCUGAAGGCUCUUCUGGCCCUGAACCCACUCAGACCAGGAGUGUUUCCUGUUUGAGCCCCAGGCACAGCUGAGCUACACUGACAGGUUUCCCCAUCAGAAGAGGCUUCUCAGCCAUGCCCGUGGCUCCUGGGAGGUGCAGGCACAGCCCUGCCUUUACCUGUGCCACUUGAACCCACUCUGGUGGAGGAAGGUACCCAAUGUGGAUGCCCUCAGCUCCUGCUGGGGAAAGGAGAGGCAGCAGAAAGACAAUUUUCCAAAUCUCCUUGUGGUAACUGCAUCUUGGAAGUUCCAUUUCCUUUGUACUCUCUCAUCCAGAAGUGGGGCUUGUGCUCCUGGAGUCGUGUUCUCAUCCCAGCAGAAGGCUGAUGCCAUUAAUUGUAACUGAAAGAGGGCCUUUUGUGUUCCUGAAUUCUUCAGCCAGAGAAGUCAAGGAAUUCCCUCUUCCAGAACACAUCAGGUGUAUCCUCAGAUCAUGAGGACAAUUACCUGAAUUCACCUGCUGUGCACAGGACAAGGCACAAGCCUGAGCCCAGAGGUAAAAAGCCAGCCCAGGGUUUUUGGUGCUUGUCUGGGGGAUCUGAGCAGUGGGGCUGUGACCUGUGCUGCCUCUCCUGUGGCUGGGAUCUGCCAGGGAGCCCGAAGCAGCAGCGAGCCCACAGCCCUUGCAGGAGAUACCAGUGCAGGGUGAGCCCUGCAGGGAUCUCACUCCUGCUCAGGCUCCCUGCUGCCCCUGGCCCUGCCUCACCUCCCGUGUCCAGGCUCAGGGCUGAGGUUCCUCCUCACCCAAAUGUCUGCCCAGAGCCCAUUCCCUCCUGCUCCUGCACAGCUGCUCCCUGGCCUGUCUGGUUCCCCCUCUCUCUGCACACAGACAGACAGACAGACAGACAGCAAACACCUCCAGGAGCUGCCCCAGUGGUUCCCCACAGCUCUGGAGGGCACUGAUGGAGUUUCCCUGUAGUGAAACAACACAGGGCCAGCUACAAGCUCGAGGAUGGGUCUGUGUGUGAGGCAGGGGUGCCCAUGACCUUCAGGCAGCUCUUGGCACCAACCCAUGAACAGCUACUGCUUUGAACUGGAACAUCCCAGUGACUGCCUCCCUGCCUCUCCCCUUCCCAAGCAAAGACACAGCUCAUGUGGCACCCCAAGAGAUCUUGUGAGUUCUGCAGCCUCUGCACAACAGUGCACACACACCUGUGAUUUGGGGUCUUUUGUCCCAGCUCUCCAAAAAGUUUCAUGAGUUUUAGUCACCACAUUGUUCUCCCUGUCCUCCUGAGGCUCCCCAGCCACCAGCUUCCAACAGAAAUUUCUCAGACAGAAACUAAAUAUCGGAUCCCAUCUUUUCCUUCCUGUAAAAGAGGCCAGUGGAACCUCCUUUUGACGUGGAAAGUCAAUAACCCUUGUAAAUGCACAGGGCAGCCUGGUUGUGCACUCUGAUUUCUCAUGAUUUCUGCUGAAAUGCUUUUCUUUCAGUUGUCAUCUCUGCCAGAGUAUGGCUCCUCCACAGGAACACUGCAAACAUCCUCUGUAGCAACAGCCUGACCUUUUGAAAAAUCAGUGAUGUGAGCAAACCCCUGAGCUCUCUGGAAAGGCUGCACGCUGUGGAUGCUGUGCUGGAUCCAUUCCCAGCCUUGUGCAAGCUCUCCUGGUGCUCUUUUCAGAUGGUUCUUCAGAGGGGUCUCUGGGUUGUCUCCUGGAUCUGAGGCCGCCACAGGGAGUUUGUGACAAUGCACUCAGAGUUCAGCAGUUUCAGCCCGAGAUGAAGUGGGAAAACACUUUGGGAACCCAUCUCUGCCACUGUCCCACCAAUUUAUUCCAGUGACAUUUGCCAGUGGCAGUGCAGUGUGUGUCACACAGAGCAUGUGGAAUGGCAGGUCAUGGCACCACUGCUGUGCAAAGCUACUGCUGGAGAGGCACUGUGCAUCCCAGAGGGAGCCAGGAGUGUGCUCACACCAAUAAAAUCCACACUUCUGUGGUCUCUCUUCAUGGA